rnacentral:rRNA from 1 species
AGUGAACGCUGGCGGUAGGCCUAACACAUGCCAGUCGAACGGCAGCACAGUAAGAGCUUGCUCUUACGGGUGGCGAGUGGCGGACGGGUGAGGAAUACAUCGGAAUCUACUUUUUCGUGGGGGAUAACGUAGGGAAACUUACGCUAAUACCGCAUACGACCUACGGGUGAAAGCAGGGGAUCUUCGGACCUUGCGCGAUUGAAUGAGCCGAUGUCGGAUUAGCUAGUUGGCGGGGUAAAGGCCCACCAAGGCGACGUUCCGUAGCUGGUCUGAGAGGAUGAUCAGCCACACUGGAACUGGGACACGGUCCAGACUCCUACGGGAGGCAGCAGUGGGGAAUAUUGGACAAUGGGCGCAAGCCUGAUCCAGCCAUACCGCGUGGGUGAAGAAGGCCUUCGGGUUGUAAAGCCCUUUUGUUGGGAAAGAAAAGCAGCAGGUUAAUACCCCGCUGUUCUGACGGUACCCAAAGAAUAAGCACCGGCUAACUUCGUG